rnacentral:ncRNA from 1 species
UGUUGUUGCCAUGGUAAUCCUGCUCAGUACGAGAGGAACCGCAGGUUCAGACAUUUGGUGUAUGUGCUUGGCUGAGGAGCCAAUGGGGCGAAGCUACCAUCUGUGGGAUUAUGACUGAACGCCUCUAAGUCAGAAUCCCGCCCAGGUGGAACGAUAGGGCAGCGCCGCGGAGCCUCGGUUGGCCUCGGAUAGCCGGUCCCCCGCCUGUCCCCGCCAGCGGGCCGUCUCGCUCAGCACGGGGUGUGCCCCACCGCAUGCCGGGUCCGGGGUCCGGUGCGGAGUGCCCUUCGUCCUGGGAAACGGGGUGUGGCCGGAAAGGCGGUCGCCCCCUCGCCCGUCAUGCAGCGCACAUUCGUGGGGAACCUGGCGCUAAACCAUUCGUAGACGACCUGCUUCUGGGUCGGGGUUUCGUACGUAGCAGAGCAGCUCCCUCGCUGCGAUCUAUUGAAAGUCAGCCCUCGACACAAGGGUUU